rnacentral:rRNA from 1 species
UCGCCUGUUUAACAAAAACAUAGUUUUAUAAAUUUAUAUAAAGUUAAAUCCUGCUCCAUGAAAUUUAAAUAGCUGCGGUAAAUCGUGCAAAGGUAGCAUAAUCAAUUGUCUUUUUAUUAAGGUCUGGAAUAAAAGAUUAAACGAUUUUUAUGUAUUUGUAUGAAGAUCUAAAAAAAUUUAAAUUUUGAAUCAAAAUGUUCAAAUUUUUUAAAGGGACGAGAAGACCCUAAAAUUUUUAUAAAUAAAACUUAUAUAAGUAAAAUUUAUUUAAUUGGGGAAAUUUUUUGACUAAACUCAUUAUAAAAAAAUCAUAUUUUAUGAAUUAAUAAGAGAAACUCUAAAUUAAAGAAUAAUUACUUUAGGGAUAACAGCACAAUAAUAAAAAAGGAGAUCUAAUUUAAUUUUAUGAUUGUGACCUCGAUGUUGAAUUAAGAUGACUUUAUUUGUAGAAAUUUAAAGAUUUAGACUGUUCGUCUACUCGGUCUUACGUGAUCUGAGUUCAGACCGGA